rnacentral:misc_RNA from 1 species
AGCAGCCGCGGUAAUUCCAGCUCCAACAGCGUAUAUUAAAGUUGUUGCAGUUAAAAAGCUCGUAGUUGAAUUGAGGGAUUGACGUGACGGUCGUGCCUUACGGGGUAUGAAUGAACUGUUGCUGUUGAUUUUUCUCACCUUCUGGAGAAACUUGAUGUCCUUAAUUGGGUGUCUUGCGGAUCCAGGACCUUUACCUUGAAAAAAUUAGAGUGUUUAAAGCAGGCAUUUUGCUCGAAUACAUUAGCAUGGAAUAAUAGAAUAGGACGGCAUGGUUCUAUUUUGUUGGUUUCUAGGAUCACCGUAAUGAUUAAUAGGGAUAGUUGGGGGCAUUAGUAUUCAAUUGUCAGAGGUGAAAUACUUGGAUUUGUUGAAGACUAAUUACUGCGAAAGCAUUUGCCAAGGAUGUUUUCAUUAAUCAAGAACGAAAGUUAGGGGAUCGAAGACGAUCAGAUACCGUCGUAGUCUUAACCAAUAAACUAUGUCGACUAGGAAUCAGACGAUGUUAAUUUUUAAUGAUUUC